GGCGGAGGCUUACCGCCGAAACAUGUAACGGUCAGGGUUCAACUGCCAGUACAUUUACACACAGUGACCUCAAGGAGCUCUGAGAGAGGCAGGAGACAAGACGACAAGUGUUGUUGAAUGCAAUAGUUUGGAAUUUAAAAAGAGAGGAGUUCAAAUUCAGCUGCAGACCUGGAUUUCAGGAUUGCACCCUGAAAAGAAACCUUGUUCUUCUUGUAAAAUGGCAGCAGCGAAACCUCUAUGAAGACCGCCUGUCUUAUUUUUUAUGAUUGUUUAUUCUUGGGUCAUACUGAAUCAGAUAUAUUAUGUAAGAUAGAUGCUUUUCCAUCAUUUACCUGUUUUUGACUCUUCCUGAUGUCCAUGUCAUCCAUUUUAUAUUCACAUUGUGGGAAAAGUGUUAUUCUGCUCAGAUCUCAAGUUGUAUGAGCAUUGAGCCUUCAGUCCUCUUCUACCACCAAUAUCUGAUUACUUUUGCAGUCCUUGGCUUCCGACAUGAAUCCCCCAGCAUGUGUAGGAUGCCAGAUUCAUAUUUACACAGCAUGGAAGGCACCUGUGCGUCAGUCAACCUGUCAAUCAGCAAGACCAUCCUGGAACAAACGUACAUUUUUGUUGUUGUCAGUGGCACACUUCCAGCUCCUUUCCCCUCCACAUUUGAAGCAGUUUCAGUUUACUCUGAGCCAUUUGGCUUCUCUUUCCUGCAUAAUGAUACACAUGCUGGACACUCUCUGUCUCCCUGUCUCUCACCACCCCCUUCUUUUUGCUCGGUUUCCUCUGCCAUUUGUUUUUUUUCCCUGCAUCAUAAGGUUUUGGAAAACAUCAGACCAUUUGGCGCAGUUCACAUGCUGCUGGCUUGAUUUAGCGCAGUGGUCUGAAACUUUUUUUCUGGCACCUACAUUUUCAAGAGGAUGGCUCUUGACGCCAGGAGGAAAUGCUUUUGUGGGCUACUGUAAAAACCAGUGCAACUAAAAUGUA